rnacentral:lncRNA from 1 species
GUGUGAAAUUGUAUCCUCCCUGCCAAACUGAAGACACUAAUUUUCCUUUUCAACUUUGCCCAACAAUGUUAACUGUUGAGUUUCGAGGGACCACUUCAUCUACGUGAUAUCACUUAAAUUUACUGUUGCCAUUCACAAUGCGGCACUUGGAGAUACAAAGUGAUUUGGCCAGGGGCCCACUGCUGGUAGCUGCAGGGGAGGGAUUCGAAUGCGGGUCUGUCUGCCUCAGAGUUUCUUGUUUCAUUCUCAGUCCAUACAACGCCCCACACUCACUCCCACCUGAGUUUUAGAAACAAAGUCUUGAUUCUUGCCUCUGGAGAUAAGUUCAAGAUAUUAAUAAAUGCAAGAUAUUAUCUAAUAUUGUGAAGUGGAAAAAGGCAGGAUUGUGUGUGUGAUCUCAUUUUUUUUUGUAAAAAGAAAGUCUCCAUAAAGGAAAUACACAUAUAUUAAUAGAAAGAUCACCAGGUGGGGGAGGUGGCAGAUUCUAGAUGAUAUUUUAUUAUUUUUUUCUACCUUUCACCUUCACAUAUGUAGUAUGCCGUCACUACCCCAACCUUACAUCAUUGGAGUCAUUCAUUAAACCCCAAUCUGUGUGAGUCACUGCGGAAGUGAGGCUAACAGAAGCCCACACUGAAGGCCGCGUUCCUUCGUGGCGCCGUCCCAUGCCAAAGCUGCUGUUCCCACGUGGCUACGGAGCUCUGGAGAUGAAGUGAGUGACACCAAGGAGCUGAAUGUUGAAUUCCAUGUAAUUUUAAUUAACAUUUAAAUAGCCGCGUGCGGGUAGUAACUACCGUAUUGGCCAGUACAAUUAGUAACAGGGAUGUUUUAAAACACACAUUUAAAUGAAUCACAGGUGAAGUCGGCUGUGCCCGUCUGACUUGGCAGACAGGGGCCGACAACUGGGCAACUGCGCAGACCUUCUCUGGCAUCACACACAGCGCAGGACGGCGCGGGACCCGAGCAGCUGGCUUACCUGAAUUGUGGCAGCAGCAGUAACAACCCCGAACUAGCUUCAGGGUGUGGAUUUAAUUACAGAAGCCGGAGGAGGGCAGGCACUGGCUGUCUUCAAUCUUUCUCAGUGACCUCCACCUGUCUGCUUCCAACUGAGUAAAAGUCUGACUUGAUGGCUUCAUGAUGAUCUAAUUGAUGAGGAAGUACUUUUGUUUAUACUACCUUCAUCCAAGACACAAUUUCCUGUUAAAUAUUUCAAUAUGAAGACUGCCUGUUUGUUUAAUGAUUUUUUAAAAACAAAUUUACCGCCAGAAUUAGUGCAUGAAGGUCCCGAGGCCGUGGCUGCAUCCUAAAUGCCCCAGCAAUGAGCAGAGGGGAGCCCAGCCCCACCCUCUUAAUGUAGCUCUGGUCCCUAACGCGAUGCUUCUAAUCUUAUGAGCCUUGACUAGUUUUUAAAUCCAGGAGCACCAGAGCUCCAAUCACAAAGUCCUGUAUUCUGUCUAGGAUCUUGGUUAAAGCAAUGAACGUGUCCCUUGCUUUGCUUUUGCCCCAGAGACCUCUAAUUGCCAACAUUUCACCUUAAAAAUCUCUUGCAAACCUUAAUUCUCAAAACCCUUCUGUAACAACAUAGACAGGAAGACCACUUCUAGCGCUUUUCCAUUUAUUUUUAUAUUCAUAAUUUUAUUCGUUUGUUGGGAAAUUUAAGGCAUAUAGAAGUUAAAACCACAGCCAAGCCUCAGGAGAUGCACAUGUUCAAAGAUUUCAGAGUGCAGAGAGUCAUUUCAUUUUUUACGAAGCACGUGCUCUGCUUCCGGACGGCGCUAAGUCGGCUGUGUGCCCGGGCGCCGGCAGUUGCGGUUGUCACAUGGGCCUGAGGGCAGUGGACAGCGGAGGGCAAGUCAAGGAACCACACUGACAGUAAUCACCCUGGCUUCAGUGUUUCCAUGAAGUGCUCUUAGAUGCAAUGAUUGUGAAGUGGGAAAAUCAUGAGUGGCCACCUGGGCGAGCCUCACUGGCCGACAUCCCUGCAUCUGAGCAUCUCUGCGGUUGCUACUGUCCGGUAAUUUCGGUCUGUUCCGGGCACCUGGAUCAAAGUCAGAGGCCCUCCCUCAGGGCUCCUCUUCAACUGGCCUCCGCACUAGGGUCCUAUCUUGGGCAGGAUCCUGGAGGCUCACCCGCUUCUUCCCAGGAUGGAAAAGUCGUCUGGGCUGCUUGUGUCUGAUGAGGAACUUGUUUGACAGGUGAGAGGCACAGAGCGGAUGAGUGGAUUCACGUGGAACCAAGAGUUCCCAAACUGCCUGAGCCUGAGACUCACCAGUUCCCAAACCGCCUGCGCCUGAGACUCACCGGUUCCCAAACCGCCUGCACUUGAGACUCAGGGGUUCCCAAACCGCCUGGGCCCGAGACUCACCGGUUCCCAAACCGCCUGCGCCUGAGACUCACCGGUUCGCAAACCGCCUGCAUUUGAGACUCACCGGUUCCCAAACCGCCUGGGCCUGAGACUCACCGGCUCCCAAACCACCUGCACCUGAAACUCACCAGUUGCCAAACCACCUGCGCCCGGAACUUACUGGCUCCCAGACCGCUGCGCAUGAGACUCGCUGGGGGCGUUACUCACAACGCAGGCUCCUGGGGCCCUCCAGAGACUCCGGUGUCAGCGAGCUCAUGGCGCCCACCUCAAGUAACACUGGCCUCGGGCACUGAUUCUCAACCCUGGCUAACCACUAAAAAUUUACUCAAGGAGCUUUUAAAAAGUAUCAGUGCCUAGGACACAACACAGGUUAAUUGAAUAAGAACUUCGGGAGGAGACUCUAGGUACUUGCAUUUUCCUAAAAAUCUUCCUAAAUGACUCAAUUUUUCAGCCAAAGUUCAGCAAUGCUGGUCUAAGAUGAAAAAUAAAAUGACUGGGUUAGAACCUCAGGCUGUGUGGAACCCACAGUGGGUCCAGACUUUGGUUUCAGUGCCCCCUACGGUAUAACAGUCAUUAAGGACCCCAAAUUAUUUAUGUAAAUUAUAUGUCAAUAUUUACCAUAUUAGGAAUUAAAACAGAAAAUGUUUUAAAUAUUCUAAUUCAUUUUAAAAUAACAAUAAUAAAUCCAUUAUGUGUUAACAUAUUUUUAUUAAAACCAACUAUAUUUUUCAAAAGAGAAAAGAAAUCACUGAGAAGAGUGGCAUUAAUCUACAUGUGUGUCAGUCUCUGUCUGGCUUUAAUGGAAGACAGCUGGACUCACCCAGCUGCCUCUGCCUUCCACCUGUUACGGACAGACACAGAAAGAAAACCUUUGGAACAGGAAAAGAAGAGCUCUUUUGACAAAGCAAAGGAGGAUCACAGAGUUCCAGCCCUGGGGGCUGCGUCUGGGGGUUUCCUGGCAUUAGAGGAGCUGAUGGUGAAUUUUCCCUCAACCAUCACCGGAAAUGUGAAACUCAGUGGAGCUCCCUGUUCCCACAGGGUCACAUUCAAGCACAAUUCAAAUAUGAAUACAGUAAAAUCAUGAGAUCCCAGCUACUCUCAA